GACGAACGCUGGCGGCAUGCCUAACACAUGCAAGUCGAACGAGACCUUCGGGUCUAGUGGCGCACGGGUGCGUAACGCGUGGGAACCUGCCCUUAGGUUCGGAAUAACUCCCCGAAAGGGGUGCUAAUACCGGAUAAUGUCUUCGGACCAAAGAUUUAUCGCCUUUGGAUGGGCCCGCGUUGGAUUAGCUAGUUGGUAGGGUAAAAGCCUACCAAGGCGACGAUCCAUAGCUGGUCUGAGAGGCUGAUCAGCCACACUGGGACUGAGACACGGCCCAGACUCCUACGGGAGGCAGCAGUGGGGAAUAUUGGACAAUGGGCGAAAGCCUGAUCCAGCAAUGCCGCGUGAGUGAUGAAGGCCUUAGGGUUGUAAAGCUCUUUUACCCGGGAUGAUAAUGACAGUACCGGGAGAAUAAGCUCCGGCUAACUCCGU
rnacentral:rRNA from 1 species